rnacentral:rRNA from 1 species
AACCAGCACCUCAAGUGGUCAGGAGGAUUAUUGGGCCUAAAGCAUCCGUAGCCGGCUCUGUAAGUUUUCGGUUAAAUCUAUGUGCUCAACAUAUAGGCUGCCGAAAAUACUGCAUAGCUAGGGAAUGGGAGAGGUAGACGGUACUCGGUAGGAAGGGGUAAAAUCCUUUGAUCUAUCGAUGACCACCUGUGGCGAAGGCGGUCUACCAGAACAUGUUCGACGGUGAGGGAUGAAAGCUGGGGGAGCAAACCGG